rnacentral:rRNA from 1 species
GGCCGCGGGAAUUCGAUUUCUGGUUGAUCCUGCCAGCGGGCACCGCUAUUGGAGUUCGCUUAAGCCAUGCGAGUCGAGAGGGGUAAGCCCUCGGCGCACUGCUCAGUAACACGCGGACAAUCUGCCCUCGAGACGGGGAUAACCCCGGGAAACUGGGAAUAAUACCCGAUAGACCUGAGGUGAUGGAAGGCUCCCAGGUCGAAAUCCUGCGAGGCUCGAGGAUGGGUCUGCGGCCUAUCAGGUAGUAGGGGGUUUCACGGACCCCCUAGCCGAAGACGGGUACGGGCUUUGAGAGAAGUCGCCCGGAGAUGGAUUCUGAGACACGAAUCCAGGUCCUACGGGACGCAGCAGGCGCGAAACCUCCACAAUGUGGGAAACCACGAUGGGGGGACUCCAAGUGCCUACACUAAGUGUAGGCUGUUCUCGAGCCUAAAAAGCUCGAGAAGUAAGGGCCGGGUAAGACGGGUGCCAGCCGCCGCGGUAAUACCCGCGGCCCGAGUGGUGCUCAUUAUUAUUGAGCCUAAAGCGUCCGUAGCUGGCCAGGCAAAUCUCCGGGUAAAUCGGGCGGCCCAACCGUCCGAACUCCGGAGACACUGCUUGGCUUGAGAUCGGGAGAGGGAGAAGGUACUCCCUGGGUAGGGGUAAAAUCCUGUAAUCCGGGGGGGACCACCAGUGGCGAAGGCGUUCUCCUAGAACGAAUCUGACAGUGAGGGACGAAGCCCUAGGGCGCAAACGGGAUUAGAUACCCCGGUAGUCUAGGGUGUAAACGCUGCAGACUUGGUGUUGGGGGUCCUGCGUGGGCUCCCAGUGCCGGAGCGAAGGUGUUAAGUCUGCCGCUUGGGGAGUACGGUCGCAAGACUGAAACUUAAAGGAAUUGGCGGGAGAGCACCGCAACGGGAGGAGCGUGCGGUUCAAUUGGAUUCAACGCCGGGAAUCACUAGUGAAUUC